rnacentral:rRNA from 1 species
CGGCCCUACGGGAGGCAGCAGUGGGGAAUAUUGCACAAUGGGGGAAACCCUGAUGCAGCGACGCCGCGUGAGUGAAGAAGUGCCUCGGCACGUAAAGCUCUAUCAGCAGGGAAGAAGAUGACGGUACCUGACCAAGAAGCCCCGGCUAACUACGUGCCAGCAGCCGCGGUAAUACGUAGGGGGCAAGCGUUAUCCGGAUUUACUGGGUGUAAAGGGGGCGCAGACGGCAAUGCAAGCCAGGAGUGAAAGCCCGGGGCCCAACCCCGGGACUGCUCUUGGAACUGCAUGGCUGGAGUCCAGGAGGG